GGCGAACGCUGGCGGCGUGCUUAACACAUGCAAGUCGAACGGGAUCCGGGUUUUCGGGUUCGGUGAGAGGGGCGAACGGGCGAGUAACACGGGAGUACCCCGCCCCCUUCUUUGGGAUAACGGCGGGAAAUCGGCGCCAUUCCCUGAUAUUCUUGCUGCAUCGCAUGGUGUGGCUUGGAAAGGUCUUCUGGUGGGGGAUUGGCUCGCGGCCUAUCAGCUUGGUGGGAGGGUGAUGGCCUACCAAGGCUAUGAGGGGUAGCCGGCCUGUGAGGGUGUCCGGUGGCACUGAGACAGGGUCACGGCCCAGACGCGUGCGAGAAGCAGCAGUGAGGGAUAAUGGAGCGUAAGCGUGAGCCUGACGCAGCGAGGCCGCGUGGAGGGUCACCGGGUUCGGGUUGUAUACCUCUUUGAGUGUGGAGCAGGGAUCCUACUUUUCGCGGGUUUGACGGUACGUACAGAAGAAGCGCCGGCUAACUACGUG
rnacentral:rRNA from 1 species